AAAGAAAGCGUAAUAGCUCACUGGUCGAGUCGGCCUGCGCGGAAGAUGUAACGGGGCUAAACCAUGCACCGAAGCUGCGGCAGCGACGCUUAUGCGUUGUUGGGUAGGGGAGCGUUCUGUAAGCCUGCGAAGGUGGCCUGUGAGGGUUGCUGGAGGUAUCAGAAGUGCGAAUGCUGACAUAAGUAACGAUAAAGCGGGUGAAAAGCCCGCUCGCCGGA
rnacentral:rRNA from 1 species